rnacentral:rRNA from 1 species
UACGUAGGGCGCAAGCGUUGUCCGGAAUUAUUGGGCGUAAAGAGCUCGUAGGCGGCCUGUCGCGUCUGCUGUGAAAUCCCGGGGCUUAACCCCGGGCGUGCAGUGGAUACGGGCUGGCUAGAGGCAGGCAGGGGAGAACGGAAUUCCCGGUGUAGCGGUGAAAUGCGCAGAUAUCGGGAGGAACACCGGUGGCGAAGGCGGUUCUCUGGGCCUGUACUGACGCUGAGGAGCGAAAGCGUGGGGAGCGAACAGG